AGUCGAACGGUAGCACAGAGAGCUUGCUCUUGGGUGACGAGUGGCGGACGGGUGAGUAAUGUCUGGGAAACUGCCCGAUGGAGGGGGAUAACUACUGGAAACGGUAGCUAAUACCGCAUAACGUCUACGGACCAAAGUGGGGGACCUUCGGGCCUCACACCAUCGGAUGUGCCCAGAUGGGAUUAGCUGGUAGGUGGGGUAACGGCUCACCUAGGCGACGAUCCCUAGCUGGUCUGAGAGGAUGACCAGCCACACUGGAACUGAGACACGGUCCAGACUCCUACGGGAGGCAGCAGUGGGGAAUAUUGCACAAUGGGCGCAAGCCUGAUGCAGCCAUGCCGCGUGUAUGAAGAAGGCCUUCGGGUUGUAAAGUACUUUCAGCGGGGAGGAAGGGGAAGAGGUUAAUAACCUCCUGCAUUGACGUUACCCGCAGAAGAAGCACCGGCUAACUCCGUGCCAGCAGCCGCGGUAAUACGGAGGGUGCAAGCGUUAAUCGGAAUUACUGGGCGUAAAGCGCACGCAGGCGGUCUGUCAAGUCGGAUGUGAAAUCCCCGGGCUUAACCUGGGAACUGCAUUCGAAACUGGCAGGCUAGAGUCUCGUACAGGGGGGUAGAAUUCCAGGUGUAGCGGUGAAAUGCGUAUAGAUCUGGAGGAAUACCGGUGGCGAAGGCGGCCCCCUGGACGAA
rnacentral:rRNA from 1 species